ACACUGGCAUCAAGCAUGACAUUCUACAAGCCCAAAGAUCACUUCCAAGCAGAGAAAAGAAAGGCCAGAGAUCUUUCUUUGGAUUCUUGGCAACCUUCCACUGAACCAAAUAGCCAACAUCCCAGAGAGUUCCUAUGAGAAUUCCUUCAGAAAAUGAAACAAUUCAUGAGGUUACCUUAAUUGACCAGCUCAAUAUCUCAUUUCAUGAACAGCCAGAUAAGGGGAAAAACAUAAGGACACUGCUGUGGCAAGGAAAUCAUGCAAAUAAAGUAUUUCAGGAAGGAGACAUUGAUGCUCCUGGGAGAUCAGGUAAUGUAAUGUAAAAGUAUUGGACUUCAGACUGGCCAAGAUGCAAGCUGUUCUUAAAUUUGAUACACAAGUUUCAGUGGAGUGGUAGAGAAAACAA